GAGAAAUUGAGAGGUUAUUAUUAGUUUCAAGUGACAAUUGAGUGUGGUGUACCUUAUUCUGCAGACUCUCAAAGUGACUGAAAAGGCCAGAUAUCAUGAAUGUUCUUGACAGAUGCCACUUAAAAGCAAAAAAUUUAAAAAGGACCCUGAGGGCCCAGAUGAAGUUUUGAGGGAAACAGGGAGUGCAGAUGCACUGUUACUGUCACCACUCCCAGCAACAGUGAGCUGGACUUCCAGGUGGGCGCACCCAGAUGCUGCAGGAGACUCCAGAUGGACAGCAGCAGAGGGCAGGCCACCUAUAGGCUGUUGUGCUCUGAUGGAGUGGAAUACAGUUCAAAGACAAGCAAAGUUUAGCAUUCAUUUUACAUUAAAACGCAGGGAAAGAAGAUUGACUUCUGGUAUGACAGGCUGAGAAGCUCUGUGGACAUGCUAGGCAGUAAAACUGGUGAAGCAGGUAGAGACUCCACUUCAAGCUGGUGCAGCCAAGAAGACAGGCUCCUGCCCUCAGUUACCUAUUGAUAAGGCUAAGUUCUGGGUGAGUGCAUCUGAGAGGUGGGAGAUCUCUUCUAUCCAGCCUCCACUCAUGGAAUGGUGCCUCUACAUUGGGUGAAGUGCCCCUGAGAAUACAGCGGCCCAAAUCACCCUUGUCCAGCUCAUAAGAUGGUGGUUCUUAGCCAGGAGAGGCAAGCUGAGAUCUCAGGCUACUGCCCCCCACUUCACUGAGCACUCAGCUCCUAAAGCAGGGUGUCACUCAGAAAGAAAUGUGCCAUUGUUCCCACUCUGGGUCCAGAACCCUGGCUCAGAGAUUUUACCUGCUGGGAGAAGCAAGCUAUAAAACAAAUAGCCCCUUGUCUCUUCCCAAAGGAACUGACUUCAUUUGCACCCAGAUCACGGAGAAGUUCAAUCACAAGUGUACUCUCAAAAACAGUAGAGGUGGUGAUGAAAGGCAACUGGGAGGAGUUCGUAGGUUCAAUGAAGAUACAGACUAAAUUGUAGGCCAGCUCGUUUUCAGGAGAACUAGGGAAAGAGACAGCUAGGAAGAGUCCUCCUGGAGUUAGAACAAAUCUCAGACACUGAUCUUGGGAAGUAUUCCUUCAGUAAAUCCUGAACGGGGAUCAAAUUAGGCUGUAGAGAAAUUAUGUCCCCAGAGCAUUGUUGAAAACCAUAGAGCAAUCAGCUGGCAACUGGUGAAGCUUAACAGCUGGGUGUGGUCAGGGAAGGGACUAGAGAGCCCUGCCAAACCACUGUCAUUCCAGGGUGACUGUGGCUAUACUCAAAGCUGCACCUCCCCGAGGAACACCACCAGAAGUUUAACACGGGGAGAGACGAAAAUGGGGACAGAAUUCACUAAAAU
rnacentral:lncRNA from 1 species